rnacentral:rRNA from 1 species
GGCAAAAGAGGUGACGGCGGGCAUGGAAAUACGGAGACGGGAAGCGGUGGCCGGAAUGAUUGGGGGGAAAGAGAGGGCAGGCGGGAAACGAAGCGGAUCUUAAAAGUGCGGGGCUCAACCCCGUGAUGGGGUCCGAACUGGGUUUCUUGAGUGCAGGAGAGGAAAGCGGAAUUCCCAGUGUAGCGGUGAAAUGCGUAGAUAUUGGGAAGAACACCAGUGGCGAAGGCGGCUUUCUGGACUGUAACUGACGCUGAGGCUCGAAAGCUAGGGUAGCGAACGGGAUUAGAUACCCUUGUAGUC